rnacentral:tRNA from 1 species
GCGAUUCAAGCUCUCCACCAAACCGUAAUGGAAACAUGCCGCAUAGUUAUGUCCAUCAACCUCAAGUGAACCGUA